rnacentral:tRNA from 1 species
GCGGGCGUGGUGUAACGGCUGCACAAGAGCCUUCCAAGCUCUCGGUGCCGGUUCAAGUCCGGUCGCCCGCU